UGUACUUGAAGCACGUGGAGUGCAGCAGUUACAGGAAGUGGUUCACCAUCACUUUCUCCAAAUCAAAUAAAAAUGGGCAAUCAAUAUUAGUCUGUGCAGCAAAGGCCACAUCCCAUGAGUCAGUUAAAAUUAUUAUGUGUUUCUGGUUGGAGAGAGCUAGAAGAAGCUGAGAUAAUUCUCCUUGGGGAUGAUUAGCAAUGAUUUUGUCGAGUAGUAGAUUUGUUUCCAGGAUAUUUAGUUUGCAGAGAGAGAAAUUCUUAACAUUGUGCAAUGUUUGGUAACUGCAGAAUACAACAUUCAGAUAAUUGGCAAAUAAUGCAGGCUGAAAAUGUGAAGAUUACUUUACUCAUCAAGUUCCCAGGAUCUGGAACAGUCUGAAUGGCAGCUGGAAGCAGAUUUAGCAGUUAUUCUCAAGAGAUUUGGGAUUUAACUUUUCAAGGCUUGAUCAAGAGGGCGGUGGACAAAUGGUGGGAGAAUUGGGUCAGAUUUGCAGCACCUCUGGAAUAAGAGUGAAGCCUUUGACAGGGUUCCACAUGGUCGAUUGAUGAGUAAAGUUAGAUCAUGUGAUUCAGGAAGAGCUUGCUAAUUGGAAGCGGAAUUGGCUUAGUUGUAGGAGAGACCGUGGUGCUGGAGGAUUUUGCAGAGUGGAGUUCUAUGACCAGCGGUGCUCCACAGAAAUUCGUACAUGGUCCACUUCUUUGUUUCUCAUUAAUAUAAAUGAUUUGGAUGCGAAUUUAAGGGACAAAAGUAAUAAGUUUGCAGAUGAUACUAGAAAUGGUGGUUAUAGUGGUUAGUCAAGGUUAUCUAAGAUGACAGCGAGAUCUUGAUCAAUUGGCUCAAUGGGUUGAGGAGUGGAGGAUGAAGUUCAAUUUAGAUAAAUGUGAGACAUUGUAUUUUGGUAAAAUGAACAAGGGUAGGACUUGCACAGUUGAAGGUUGCACCCAGGGUAGAGUUGUGGAACAGAGAAAUGCUGAGAUUCAGGUACAUAAUUCUUCGAAGUUUAUGUAGACAGGUAGACAGAGUGGUUAAUAAAUUGUUUAGCGCACUUGCCUUCAUUGUUCAGAUCUUUGAGUAUAGGAGUUGGUGUUAUGUUGAGGUUGUACAAGACAUUGGCGAGGCUUCAUUUGUGGUAUUGUGUGCAGUUCUGGUCGCCCUGUUACAGGAAGGGCACUAUUAUUAAACUGGAAACAAUUCAGAAAAGACUCGCUGGGAUGUUGCCAGGAAUGGAGGGCUUGAUGAACAAAAUCAACUGCCAAAGCUAGGACUUUCCUCACUGGAGUGAAGGAGGUUAAGGGGUAAAAUUAGAAGUUUAUAAAAUCAUGAGGGCACAGAUUAUGUAAAUAGUAAGGGGUUUCCCCUAGGUUGGGGGAUUUCAAGACAAGGGAACAUAUGUGGAAUACAUCUUUUAAAAAAGACAUGAGGGACAAUUUUUCUUUUACAGAGUUGUUCAUGUGUGGAACAAACUUUCAGAGGAGUUGGUGGAUGCAGAUUUCCACAAUUUUACUUCUGCACUGUUCUUAGUCUUUCAGAGGGAUUGAAAGGUUGACUUACAGAUCUGUACAAUGCCUGUCCUUCCUCCCUGGCUGUCCCACCUCUCUUUCCGUAAUUUUGUGCAAACAGACUGGAUCGCUUACCCGGAUGAUAUUUAUUUGUGAAUGAAUUUGUUCUAAUGAUGAUCCAGCAUAUUUCCCAAGUGUCGCUCCACAAAUGUCCCGAGGAUUUCUCAGUUUCACAAUCUGUUUACUUCUGGUUUCUCACUCACUGCACUUACUUUCUGUUUGAAAGCUCAGUCUGCAGUUUGGAGAAUUCAAACUGUUCUACAUCCAGGUCUGACAGUCACUUUGUUUAUCACAACCCAACUAUCUCAGGAUUUUGAACAUUGAAGGAAAAUGCAGCACUCUCACGUUGGAGAAAUGUAAAUGGUUUGUGUGCCAAAGAGUCUGUGAAGAUUCAUCUGAAAUUCCUAACACCAACUCAGUUGUACUGGGGAGAGACUGUGGAAAUGUGCAGAUUACAGGAAGGAAUUUCUUCAUCCAUCCCAGCUAGAAACUGACCACCAGAAUCGCACUGGAGAGAGACCAUUCACCCGCUCUGAUUGUGGAAUGGGAUUCGCUCAGUCAUCUAACCUGUUUAAACACCAGGGAGUUCACACUGGAGAGAAACCAUUUACUUGCUUGGAAUGUGGGAAAGCAUUCACUCAGACACCUCAACUGCUGAUACACCAGCAAAUUCACACUGGAGAGAGACCAUUGGCCUGUUGUGUGUGGGAAAGGUUUUGCUGACUUGAAUUCCCCUCUGACACACCAGCAAGUUCACUCUGGGGAGAGACCAUUCAUGAGCUCUGAGUGUGGGAAAGCAUUCACUCAGUCAUCCAAACAAUCACAAAGAACUACAGUUGAAGCAUUUUGCUAUCACUCUCACGAUCAAAUGAACCAUGGUUUUGGGCUGUUUGUACUGAUGUUACUAAUCCCUGCUCAAUUAAAGGUGCUGCUAUUGUGAAUAAAAAUGUUAAUAACA